GGAGAAAGGCAGCCUCCUUCUAUGGGCUCCAGAAAUCCAAGGCCAGUCACCAGAAAUGAGCCACUAAACCACGGCAGCAACAUUCAAGCCAAAGCCGAACAAUGUUCCUAAACUCCAAAAACAACUGCUUCUGUUAGACCUCAUAAACGGUCAUUAAAGACUCUGCAUAAUGAGAGCUUUCAGCCUGGAGCCACACAGACCCCCACUGGGGACAAUGGGACCCAAGCAAAUGUCUCAAAGAGAACUUUAAGCUUCUUGCCAAAAAGGAGACACACUGCGGGCAGAAGGCAUGAGGUAGCCAGGGAAUGUCGUUUCUUCUUGAAACCAUGCCACCGUCAUCUACCAAAGCCACAGACCCCAGUCCAACCUCUUUCUAUAGGAUGAGAAGCCAGAAGCAUCUAAUUAGAGGGCAGGGAAAGGAAGAAAUUAUCAACCUCACCUUGCAAGUUGAGCAACUAAAACCGAGAAAGGGAGCACACUGUCCUAAGGUCACAUAUGGAUAAGUGUUACGACAAAAAUGAAGAGCCCUAAUGACCAGCCCAGGGCUAGUUCAGGUGCCCACCACCCUGAAGCAUUAAUAAAAUGCAAAAGCACCAGGAGGAAAGACGCUAUGGUGACAGAGAACACAAUUCGCUGUGGGUGGUACCGUCUAUAGGAAGGAGGGAAAGAGGAAGUCCAACUACGAAGAGAAGGCUUUGGAAUGGGUAAGGCCUAGGAACAGACAUGAAGGAAAGCAGAAGAUCUGGACAAGUGAAAAGUGCUGCCAGAUGAGGCAGCUUAGGCCGCCCUGCUGGACAACAAGCGAACACAAGGAGCAGAAAUGAACCACCUCUGCCAAGGCUUCAGACAUGCAGAAGAGCUGAGCAAAGCCAAGAUCAAGAAAUUCUACCCUGGAAACCUAUUCUGCUCUUGAAUGAGACCAGAAAAAUCAUUUAUCUUAGGUCAUCCCAAAUCACCAACCUGCAUAACUAUGAAGUAAAUAAAUGAUUGGGGUUUUUUCCUCCA